CAGCAGCCGCGGUAAUACGAAGGGGGCUAGCGUUGUUCGGAAUUACUGGGCGUAAAGCGCACGUAGGCGGAUAUUUAAGUCAGGGGUGAAAUCCCGCAGCUCAACUGCGGAACUGCCUUUGAUACUGGGUAUCUUGAGUAUGGAAGAGGUUAGUGGAAUUGCGAGUGUAGAGGUGAAAUUCGUAGAUAUUCGCAGGAACACCAGUGGCGAAGGCGGCUAACUGGUCCAUAACUGACGCUGAGGUGCGAAAGCGUGGGGAGCAAACAGGAUUAGAUACCCCCGUAGUCCCUGUCUCUUAUAA
rnacentral:rRNA from 1 species